AUGCGCCCGGCGAGGAUUUUUGUACUGUGCCUCAGCAUUCUCUCUCUCUGCUCCCUUCGUCUCCGUCCAGCGCGCUCGCUCUUGCCCCCGCACAACUUCCCCUCGCGCAUCUCGCCGGCAACCAUGGCCAAGGAGAAGACGGCGGCGCUGGAACGUGCGAAGAAGGCGUCGGCGUCAGAGAAGGCGAAGGGGAGAUCUACCAGCCGCGGCGGGUCUUCGUCCAGAUCCCGCCUACCGAAGGGCUGGGUCCAAGGAGACUGGAUCCAGUCGACCAUCACAGAAAAAGAUCUCCUCGACAUGGCCAACGAGGGCUUGAUCCCUCAUGGAGCCGCGAGGCUUCCGGGGAAGGAAUGGCAGCCCCAGCCAGAAGAGGGUGAGUGUGUGCUCUUGGCCACCCAUGUUGAUCGUGGAUUUUCUUUGCCGCCGAGUAUUUUCUUCCGUGGCUUCUUGAACUUCUUUGGAGCACAGCUCCACCACUUUACCCCAAAUUCUAUCGCCUAUCUUGCCGCAUUUGUGUCCAUGUGUGAGGGUUUCCUGGGCUGCCGACCGCACUGGGGUUUGUUCAAGCAUAUAUUCACGUGUCGCUCUCAGACCGUGAAGAAGGCGAGCCCAGGCGAUGAAAGAACCCGAGUCGUCCAAAUGUGUGGGGGUCUGGGGAUCCAGGUGAGGAACAAGAGCACCUUCCCGCCCAUGACCUUUCCCGAGUCAGUCAGAGGCUGGCAGUCGACCUGGUUCUACUGCCAGGACCAGUCGACGCCGGGGCAGUCGAGUGGACUCCCUCAGUUUACCAUGGACUGA
rnacentral:rRNA from 1 species